AGUGAAGAGGCAACACUGGGAUAGUGACCUUCCAGGCAGAGUUGCAAAGAAAAGCUGUUUCGCAGACUGGCCAAAAAAAGAAAAGAGUAAGAUGGGAACACAGAUGGUGAACAGAGGAAGAUUUGGGGGGGGGGGGGAAGAGUUAUGAAUCGAAAAAUCGAAGUUUGAGGUGUUCAGAUCACAAAGAAGAACAUUUGUGAACGCAGACCAAAUGAAAAGCUGCUGGAGGAGUACUUGAUGCCACACAUGGUUGAUGAUGCGUGAUGGUCUGGAUGAGCUUUGGUGGUGGUAAAGCAGAAGAUUAAAGAUAUCACUCUAUUUUGCUACUCCAUGCCAUAUCCUGUAGUUGGC